rnacentral:rRNA from 1 species
UACGUAGGGUGCAAGCGUUGUCCGGAAUUAUUGGGCGUAAAGAGCUCGUAGGCGGUUCGUCGCGUCGGCUGUGAAAUCCCGAGGCUCAACCUCGGGUCUGCAGUCGAUACGGGCGGACUGGAGUUCGGCAGGGGAGACUGGAAUUCCUGGUGUAGCGGUGAAAUGCGCAGAUAUCAGGAGGAACACCGGUGGCGAAGGCGGGUCUCUGGGCCGAUACUGACGCUGAGGAGCGAAAGCCAGGGGAGCGAACGGG